rnacentral:lncRNA from 1 species
GAAAAAUUAAAUUUUGUGGAAAUUAACCAGUCAGUACUUUUGACAGCCUUAAGUCUAGUUUUAUCAUUGAAAUCUAAGAAGUCCUCUCCUGACCUCACAUUUUUGGUAAUCAGAUUUAUCACACUAGUGAAAGAACUAACCAUUUGCAGCUCAUCUUCUGCUUGACAAAUAGAGCACACAGCAUUCUCCAGGACAUGAGCUAAACUAGAGCAGUGUCAAGUAUAACACACUAAGUGUCCCCUUCAGCCUUUCCUGCUCUCUUCACGUGGAAUUCCGUUCUUGUGCUCUUCAGCUGCUGCAUAACGUUAGUGUGCUCUCCAGUUUCACCUUCAGCUGGGCUUUGAGAGUGACAAGUUGGUAUUGUUCCUGGACUCAAAUUAUGAUAUUUAGGAUAUUAAGUUGUAUCCUUUCUGCUCCGACUAUAAAAUAUGAAAUUGGGGCAGACGAAUUUAGUUGAUUACAGUAUUAUUAGACUAAUUUGUGAGUUGAACCAAUUGGCUUUAUACUGCUAAAAACUAUUUCAUACCCCUAAUUAUGCCGAUUCAGUAAAGGGCAUGGAGCUCGUGGCCUACUACAGAUCCUGAGAGAGAGGGUGGCAUAAAGUCAUGAGGAUUGAAAGGAAUUCAAAAUGUAUGUCCUCUACACAGGAAUACAAUACUCUCCUAAAACCGGAUAUAUUGGAAUUAAAAUGUCAGAGUGAGACAUUUCCUGUAACUUUGAUGGAAUACAAGAAGUGGAACUUGUUGGUCAACACAUUAGACAAAACAGAUGGGGAAGCAAAGAAGUGUGUGACAUAAGACAUGCAGAAAUUUGGAUCUCUCCAAUUAAUCAUGGUUCACAGCUGACAAAAAGGUGACAAUAAUUGAUGUAACCCUUUGAGAAACAAUCUGGAACUUCAGCACCCUAGGAAAUCUUGUUCAGCUUUGCUCAGCUACUACUGAAUUAAUGUGUGUUAUAAAUUGCUACUCAGAGGGGCACUUCAUAAAGUCAGAAUUUCUGGAACAAAUCCCAUACCACGAGACAUCCUAGAAAUCAUCCUUUUUUUUUUUUUUUGGCUUCUCACCACUUAGUGUUGUGUUACCUACUGUAACAAGCACAGUACACAGAUUAAAGAUGAAAGGGCCAAUUUGUCUGCAGUGCAUUUUGCCAAUGGAGGCAGUCUCCAUAACUCAAUUCAAUCCCUAGGAGAGUUACAUGUUAGCUCAAAAUGUCUAAACUAGUUGUCUAUUUGCUAACAUGCAAUGCUACAUGCAUGGCCUUUACUGGCUCUGCAGCUAUAGGACAUGCAACCCCCACUCUUUUAGAUGUAGCCUCCAUAUAAGAGACUUCCCCUCCAAAGAGGAUGUAACUAUUGACCAGGCAUUUUUCUCCUUGUAAAAGGUGGGCGCUUACACAUAGGCACUGCUUCCAACUUCCACACCUGAAUAAGGCAAUGUAACACAGAUCUCCAGACAAGCACAAAUGUGUGAAACAUGAACCACUGGAGUUGCAAG